rnacentral:rRNA from 1 species
CAUCGCCGCGGUAAUACAGAGGGUGCGAGCGUUAAUCGGAUUUACUGGGCGUAAAGCGUGCGUAGGCGGCUUCUUAAGUCGGAUGUGAAAUCCCUGAGCUUAACUUAGGAAUUGCAUUCGAUACUGGGAAGCUAGAGUAUGGGAGAGGAUGGUAGAAUUCCAGGUGUAGCGGUGAAAUGCGUAGAGAUCUGGAGGAAUACCGAUGGCGAAGGCAGCCAUCUGGCCUAAUACUGACGCUGAGGUACGAAAGCAUGGGGAGCAAACAGGAUUAGAUAUCCGCGUAGUCCCUGUCUCUUAUACA